rnacentral:lncRNA from 1 species
CGUCUAUCUCCCUAUCUGAAAUUCUUACAACUCAAAAAUAAAAGGACGACCCAAAUAAAAAUGGGCAAAGGGUGAGAACAGACAUUGCUCCAAACGAAACAUGCAAAUGGUCGACCUCUCGCAGAUCAAAACCACAACGCGAUUCUUCAUAUCCACUAGGAUGGAGAGAACUGAAAAACAGCAGGUGUUGAUGAGGAUGUGGAGAAACUGGAACCACCAUGUGCUGCUGGUGGGAAUGUAAAAUGCUGCAGCUGCUGUGGAAGUUUGGUGGUUCCUCAAAAAACUAAACUUAAAAAAUUAAACACAGAAUCACCAAAUGACCCAGAAACUCACUGUGGGCACACACACACCAACAGCCUGAGAAGACAGAUCUGAAGAGACACGUGUCCAGCAAUGCUCAGAGAGGCAUCACUCACGGCAGCUACACGUCUCCAGCAGUGCUCACAGCGGCGCCACUCACGGCAGCUACACGUGUCCAGCAGUGCUCAGAGAGGCAUCACUCCAGCGAUGCCCACAGUGGCUCCACUCACAACAAUGCUCACAGCAGCGUCACUCACGACACCUACACGUCUGCAGCAGUGCUCACAGCGGCGCCACUCACGGCAGCUACACGUGUCCAGCAAUGCUCAGAGAGGCAUCACUCCAGUGAUGCCCACAGUGGCUCCACUCACAACAAUGCUCACAGCAGCGUCACUCACGACACCUACACGUCUGCAGCAGUGCUCACAGCAGCGUCACUCACGACACCUACACGUCUCCAGCAGGGCUUUUGUUGCCUUCUCCCUCUCCCUAGUGGCUCACAUUCUCUGAGCACCAACAGCUGAUGUCCCCAUGAGCAGAUACUGGUCUUAUCCCCAGGGGCUCCUCCUCCAAACACUGUUUGAUGUUUGCUGUCCUGACACAGUUUUGUAUAGAUUCCUUAUCCAAAAGAAAAUAGGCUGGACGCAGUGGCUCAUGCCUGUAAUCCCAGCACUUUGGGAGGCUGAGGUGGGUGGAUCACAAGGUCAGGAGUUCGAGACCAGCCUGGCCAACAUGGUGAAACCCCGUGUCUACUAAAAAUACAAAACUUAGCUGAGGGUGGUGGCAGGCACCUGUAAUCCCGGCUACUCAGGAGGCUGAGGCAGGAGAAUUGCUUGAACCUGGGAGGCAGAGGUUGCAAUGAGCCGAGAUUGCGCCACUGCACUCCGCCUGGCAGCAAAACUCCGUCUCAAGAAAAAAAAAAGAAAAAAAGAAAAUAAAGGCUGGCGUGGUGGCUCACACUGUAAUCCAGCACUUUGGGAGGCUAAGGCGGGAGGAUCACUUUAGUCCAGGCAUUCCAGACUAACCUGGGCAAUAUAGCAAGACUCUGUCUCCACAAAAAAUACCAAAACUAUCCAGGUGUGGUGGUGCACACCUGUAGUCCCAGC